GAGUUUGAUCCUGGCUCAGGACGAACGCUGGCGGCGUGCCUAAUACAUGCAAGUGGAACGCAUGAUUGAUACCGGAGCUUGCUCCACCAUUAAUCAUGAGUCGCGAACGGGUGAGUAACGCGUAGGUAACCUACCUCAUAGCGGGGGAUAACUAUUGGAAACGAUAGCUAAUACCGCAUAACAGUCUUUAACCCAUGUUAGAGAUUUGAAAGGGGCAAGAGCUUCACUAUGAGAUGGACCUGCGUUGUAUUAGCUAGUUGGUGAGGUAAAGGCUCACCAAGGCGACGAUACAUAGCCGACCUGAGAGGGUGAUCGGCCACACUGGGACUGAGACACGGCCCAGACUCCUACGGGAGGCAGCAGUAGGGAAUCCUCGGCAAUGGGGGGAACCCUGACCGAGCAACGCCGCGUGAGUGAAGAAGGUUUUCGGAUCGUAAAGCUCUGUUGUUAGAGAAGAACGUGUGUGAGAGUGGAAAGUUCACACAGUGACGGUAACUAACCAGAAAGGGACGGCUAACUACGUGCCAGCAGCCGCGGUAAUACGUAGGUCCCGAGCGUUGUCCGGAUUUAUUGGGCGUAAAGCGAGCGCAGGCGGUUCUGUAAGUCUGAAGUUAAAGGCAGUGGCUUAACCAUUGUACGCUUUGGAAACUGCAGGACUUGAGUGCAGAAGGGGAGAGUGGAAUUCCAGGUGUAGCGGUGAAAUGCGUAGA
rnacentral:rRNA from 1 species